UACGGGGGGUGCGAGCGUUGUCCGGAAUCACUGGGCGUAAAGGGCGCGUAGGUGGUCUGGUAAGUUUGUGGUGAAAGCCCGGGGCUCAACCCCGGGUCUGCCGCGAAGACUGCUGGACUCGAGUGCUGUAGGGGCUGGUAGAAUGCCGGGUGUAGCGGUGGAAUGCGUAGAGAUCCGGCGGAAGACCGGUGGCGAAGGCGGCCAGCUGGGCAGUGACUGACACUGAGGCGCGACAGCGUGGGGAGCAAACAGG
rnacentral:rRNA from 1 species